CUACGGGGGGCUCCAGUGGGGAAUAUUGGACAAUGGGGGAAACCCUGAUCCAGCAAUGCCGCGUGUGUGAAGAAGGCCUGCGGGUUGUAAAGCACUUUCGGUUGGGAGGACUGCUUCUAGCACUAAUAUUGUUGGAAGUUGACGUUACCUUCAGAAGAAGCACCGGCUAACUCCGUGCCAGCAGCCGCGGUAAUACGGGGGGUGCAAGCGUUAAUCGGAAUUACUGGGCGUAAAGCGCGCGUAGGCGGCUAGAUCAGUCGGGUGUGAAAGCCCCGGGCUUAACCUGGGAACUGCAUCCGAUACUGGCUAGCUUGAGUACAGGAGAGGAGAGUGGAAUUCCACAUGUAGCGGUGAAAUGCGUAGAUAUGUGGAGGAACACCAAUGGCGAAGGCAGCUCUCUGGCCUGAUACUGACGCUGAGGUGCGAAAGCGUGGGGAGCAAACAGGAUUAGAUACCCUUGUAGUC
rnacentral:rRNA from 1 species